CCUACGGGUGGCAGCAGUGAGGAAUAUUGGUCAAUGGACGAGAGUCUGAACCAGCCAAGUAGCGUGAAGGAUGACUGCCCUAUGGGUGGUAAACUUCUUUUAUAUGGGAGUAAAAUGUUCCACGUGUCGGAUUUUGUAUGUACCAUAUGAAUAAGGAUCGGCUAACUACGUGCCAGCAGCCGCGGUAAUACGGAGGAUCCGAGCGUUAUCCGUUUUUAUUGGGUUUAAAGGGAGCGUAGGUGGAUUGUUAAGUCAGUUGUGAAAGGUUGCGGCUCAACCGUCAAAUUGCAGUUGAAACUGGCAGUCUUGAGUACAGUAGAGGUAGGCGGAAUUCGUGGUGUAGCGGUGAAAUGCUUAGAUAUCACGAAGAACUCCGAUUGCGAAGGCAGUUCACUGGACUGCAACUGACACUGAGGCUCGAAAGUGUGGGUAUCAAACAGGAUUAGAUACCCUUGUAGUC
rnacentral:rRNA from 1 species